rnacentral:rRNA from 1 species
GAUGAACACUAGCGGCAGGCCUAACACAUGCAAGUCGAGGGGCAGCACGGUGUAGCAAUACAUUGGUGGCGACCGGCGCACGGGUGCGUAACGCGUAUACAAUUUGCCUUAUACAGGGAGAUAGCCCGGAGAAAUUCGGAUUAAUAUCGCAUAAAAUUUUGAUCUCGCAUGGGAUUGAUCUUAAAGCUACGGCGGUAUAAGAUGAGUAUGCGUCUGAUUAGCUAGUUGGUGAGGUAAUGGCUCACCAAGGCAACGACCAGUAGGGGGCCUGAGAGGGUUAUCCCCCACACUGGAACUGAGACACGGUCCAGACUCCUACGGGAGGCAGCAGUGAGGAAUAUUGGUCAAUGGAGGCAACUCUGAACCAGCCAUGCCGCGUGCAGGAAGAAUGCCCUAUGGGUUGUAAACUGCUUUUAUUUGGGAAUAAACCCCUCUACGUGUAGAGGGCUGAAGGUACCAAAGGAAUAAGGACCGGCUAACUCCGUGCCAGCAGCCGCGGUAAUACGGAGGGUCCGAGCGUUAUCCGGAAUCAUUGGGUUUAAAGGGUGCGCAGGCGGUUUUGUAAGUCAGUGGUGAAAUCCCGUAGCUCAACUACGGAACUGCCAUUGAUACUGCGUUUCUUGAGUAUGGUUGAGGUAGGUGGAAUGUGUUGUGUAGCGGUGAAAUGCAUAGAUAUGACACAGAACGCCGAUUGCGAAGGCAACUUACUAAGCCAUUACUGACGCUGAGGCACGAAAGCGUGGGUAGCGAACAGGAUUAGAUACCCUGGUAGUCCACGCUGUAAAACGAUGUUCACUCGCUGUUUUGCGAUACACAGUAAGCGGCUGAGCGAAAGCAUUAAGUGAACCACCUGGGGAGUACGAUCGCAAGGUUGAAACUCAAAGGAAUUGACGGGGGCCCGCACAAGCGGAGGAACAUGUGGUUUAAUUCGAUGAUACGCGAGGAACCUUACCUAGGCUAGAAUGUGAGUGACAGAUGGUGAAAGCCGUUCUUCCUUCGGGACACGAAACAAGGUGAUGCAUGGUUGUCGUCAGCUCGUGCCGUGAGGUGUUGGGUUAAGUCCCGCAACGAGCGCAACCCCUAUUGUUAGUUACCAGCACGUAGAGGUGGGGACUCUAGCAAGACUGCCGGCGUAAGCCGCGAGGAAGGUGGGGAUGACGUCAAAUCAUCAUGGCCUUUAUGCCUAGGGCGACACACGUGCUACAAUGGCCAGAACAGAGGGCAGCGAUACCGCGAGGUGGAGCCAAUCCCCUAAAUCUGGUCCCAGUUCGGAUUGGAGUCUGCAACCCGACUCCAUGAAGGUGGAAUCGCUAGUAAUCGCGCAUCAGCCAUGGCGCGGUGAAUACGUUCCCGGACCUUGUACACACCGCCCGUCAAGCCAUGAAAGUUGGGAGUAUUUAAAGUAGGUGACCGCAAGGAGCUGCCUAGGGUAAAACUAGUAACUAGGGCU